GCCUUGGUAGCUUAACGGUUAAAGCGUGCCUCUGAAGAAGGCAAGAAAGUGAUUCGAUUUCAUUUCAGGGCA
rnacentral:tRNA from 1 species